rnacentral:lncRNA from 1 species
GUGAGCUCACCUGCAGGCCUGAAUGCUUGAUCUAGAGGCAGCUGCGGCGAUGCCAUCAGAUGAAUCUGGCCACAGACUUCAAGGAGAAGAGCAGUGAAAUGCUUUGCAAACUGCUACUAGUUAGUGCUCUCCACAGGGGUGAAGAUAUGAACUGCUGUUUAAGCUUUUUAAAAUUCAGAACUAGUUCCAACUUGUUCCUAAAAUGGUGCACUGAUUUAAUUCAAAUGUCUGAAUAAACAGUUGGAACAAAAUGUUCUUAAUUAGCGAUGCAACCCUCUGCCUUAACAGCUGUGGGCUGGGAAAGUUUCUUGGAUGCUCCCAGGUCUUGAAUCAAAAGGUAAGGAGAUGUGAUCUGAUCUUAGACCUAGUUAGCUGUGGCAGAAUCUAAGCCAUUAAAACUAACGGACCAAGUAAGGCUUGUAUAAAUCAUAAACAAGGGUGUCAAAUUUAUAUAAAAUCUGUUUAGGCUCAUUUUAUAUGGCAUAGGAAAUUUUAGUUAUCCGUACAGUGACAUGGCCCGAGCCUUCACAAAGCGAGAGCGUGGGUAUGUGUGAGAAAGACGUGAACCCUGUCCUUACAAUUGAAAUAAGCUGAGAGAGACAGAGGGUGGGGUGGUGGGCUUGGAGAAAGGAUGGUAGAAGAAAUAGGGCCAAGGAAUGACUUGAUGGAGACUGCGCCCCAGGGAAAUCGUAAGGACCACUGCAGGUCUCUGCAACCUCUGCCUUGGAAGAGUGCCUGUAACAGGUCCUAGCGUGGUGGCUAUGAUGGCAUGCAGCUCCCAUCUCAACAGUGGGCUAACACAGAGCGAGGAACUGCUGGGGCCCCCGGCUGCACCACACCUUCCACAGCUGCUGCUCAUGAAGACAAGGAGCCUGUUUACUCUGUCCCUGCCUUCUGUUGUCUCUGCGAGUGCUUGGCUUCCUGUCCUGCCAAGGAGCCCUUUGGCAGCAGCUGUUGCCUCUCCUUGCUCCAGCUGGUGCAUCUCRGAGUGGCCAUUAGGGCAGCAUCGUUGUUUACGCUGCAGGCCUUUCCUUCCUGUCACAUGCACAUGCAUCAGUGCUGACCGCAGUCU